GAAUAUCCACCCUCUUCAUCAAGAACAUCGUGUCAUUCUUCAGGGUCACGGAAUGCUCUACAGCCUACUUCCUGGUGUCCACCAUGGAGGAGAUUAGUUGCACCUGAAUUCAAGGAAGAUUCUAGAGGGGUCACAGCUGCAGAAUUCCAAGCACGCCCAGACAGACUGUGCUGAUUUUAGAAAGACACAUGGGGACCUGCCACAAGGAAGGCACUUUGCAGGGAGGCUUCAAACCCAUGGCACAUUUCUGCAGGAGGGAUCUUAUCCUUGUAACAGUCACAUAGCCACUUAUAGAAAGGCAACUCUUACAAAAUUUAAAUGGGGACCAAAAUACUAACCCUAGCCAGUUUAUUAUCUCAAAGAAUUGGAAAAACAAAAUUUUCCAAAAAUAGGGGAUUAGAAGAGUAAACAAGGUAUGCCUCUUCUUUGGAGCUACAGAUAUGUAUUAAAAAUGGGAUGUACAAAGAAUUUUUUUAUGACAUGGAGAAGUGCUUAUGAGAUGAUAUAACAUUAAACAUAUUAAUUAAAGGCAUACAUUAAAAA
rnacentral:lncRNA from 1 species